rnacentral:rRNA from 1 species
UACGUAGGGCGCAAGCGUUGUCCGGAAUUAUUGGGCGUAAAGAGCUCGUAGGUGGCUUGUCACGUCGGGUGUCGAAAGCUUGGGGCUUAACUCCAGGUCUGCAUUCGAUACGGGCUGGCUAGAGGUAGGUAGGGGAGAACGGAAUUCCGGUGUAGCGGUGAAAUGCGUAGAUAUCGGGAGGAACACCAGAGGCGAAGGCGGGUUACUGGGCUGAUACUGACGCUGAUGCGCGAAGCUAGGGGAGCAAACGGG